AUGCACUUGGGACUGAGAUGUGCUUUCAUUCUUUUUCUCUUAAAAGGUGUCCAGAGUGAUGUGAACCUUGAAGUGUCUGGAGGAGGCUUAGUUCAUCCUGGAGGAUCGAUGCAACUCUCUUGUGCAGCCUCUGGAUUUACUUUUAUAGAUGGCUGGAUGGACUGGGUCCGCCAGUCUCCCGAGAAGGGGUUUGAGUGGGUUGCUGAAAUUGCAAAUAAAGCUAGUGAUUAUGCAACAUAUUACGCGGAGUCUGUGAAAGGCAGAUUCACCAUCUCAAGAGAUGAUUCCAAAAGUAGUGUCUACCUGCAAAUGAAAAGCUUAAGAGCUGAAGAUACUGGCAUUUAUUACUGUACAAGGCACAGUGAGAAGCCUUCAUUGUGA